UACGUAGGGUGCGAGCGUUGUCCGGAAUUAUUGGGCGUAAAGGGCUCGUAGGCGGUCUGUCGCGUCGGUAGUGAAAACUCAGGGCUUAACCCUGAGCCUGCUUCCGAUACAGGCAGACUAGAGGUAUGCAGGGGAGAAUGGAAUUCCUGGUGUAGCGGUGAAAUGCGCAGAUAUCAGGAGGAACACCGGUGGCGAAGGCGGUUCUCUGGGCAUUACCUGACGCUGAGGAGCGAAAGUGUGGGGAGCGAACAGG
rnacentral:rRNA from 1 species